CCUACGGGAGGCAGCAGUGAGGAAUAUUGGUCAAUGGGCGUAAGCCUGAACCAGCCAAGUCGCGUGAGGGAUGAAGGUUCUAUGGAUCGUAAACCUCUUUUAUAAGGGAAUAAAGUGUGGGACGUGUCCUGUUUUGUAUGUACCUUAUGAAUAAGGAUCGGCUAACUCCGUGCCAGCAGCCGCGGUAAUACGGAGGAUCCGCGCGUUAUCCGGAUUUAUUGGGUUUAAAGGGUGCGUAGGCGGCCUUUUAAGUCAGCGGUGAAAGUCUGUGGCUCAACCAUAGAAUUGCCGUUGAAACUGGGAGGCUUGAGUAUGUUUGAGGCAGUCGGAAGGCGUGGUAUAGCGGUGAAAUGCUUAGAUAUCACGCAGAACCCCGAUUGCGAAGGCAGCCUGCCAAGCCAUGACUGACGCUGAUGCACGAAAGCGUGGGGAUCAAACAGGAUUAGAUACCCUAGUAGUC
rnacentral:rRNA from 1 species